rnacentral:tRNA from 1 species
GAGAGUGUAGCUCAGUGGUAGAGCUCAUGCUCAGUAUGCAUGAGGUCCUAGGUUUAAUCCCCAGUACCUCCA